rnacentral:rRNA from 1 species
GUAAAAAGGUCCGUGAGGGAAAGAUGAAAAGGAUUUUGGAAAGAGAGUUAAACAGUACGUGAAAUUGUUGAAAGGGAAACGAUUGAAGUCAGUCGUGACCGAGAGGCUCAGCCGGUUCUGCCGGUGUAUUCCCCUCGGUCGGGUCAACAUCAGUUUUGUCCGGUGGACAAGAGCGGUAGGAAGGAGGCACCCUCGGGUGUGAAUGACCUGCCGUCGCAUACUCGG